GACGAACGCUGGCGGCGUGCUUAACACAUGCAAGUCGAACGGAAAGGCCCUGCUUUUGUGGGGUGCUCGAGUGGCGAACGGGUGAGUAACACGUGAGUAACCUGCCCUUGACUUUGGGAUAACUUCAGGAAACUGGGGCUAAUACCGGAUAGGAGCUCCUGCUGCAUGGUGGGGGUUGGAAAGUUUCGGCGGUUGGGGCUGGACGCGCGGCUUAUCAGCUUGUUGGUGGGGUAGUGGCUUACCAAGGCUUUGACGGGUAGCCGGCCUGAGAGGGUGACCGGCCACAUUGGGCCUGAGGUACGGCCCAGACUCCUACGGGAGGCAGCAGUGGGGAAUAUUGCACAAUGGGCGGAAGCCUGAUGCAGCAACGCCGCGUGCGGGAUGACGGCCUUCGGGUUGUAAACCGCUUUCGCCUGUGACGAAGCGUGAGUGACGGUAAUGGGUAAAGAAGCACCGGCUAACUACGUG
rnacentral:rRNA from 1 species